GUGGAUUAGAUACCCUGGUAGUCCUGGCCCUAAACGAUGUCCACUAGAUUACGGCGCCUUUGACGGCGUCGUGGUCGAAGCAAAAGUGUUAAGUGGACCGCCUGGGAAGUACGGUCGCAAGGCUAAAACUCAAAGGAAUUGACGGGGGCUCACACAAGCGGUGGAGCAUGUGGUUCAAUUCGAAGCAACGCGCAGAACCUUACCUGGGCUUGACAUGCUCGGAUUAUCCCGGUGAAAGCCGGGUAGGCCCCGCAAGGGGUACAACGAGUACAGGUGCUGCAUGGUUGUCGCCAGCU
rnacentral:rRNA from 1 species